rnacentral:lncRNA from 1 species
UUGGCUUACCUCAUGCUGACAUCUUCUUUCAAGUACUGGAUGUUUUGUCCUUUUGCCUUCAGGCUUUUCCAGUGCCACAGUUGCCUCUGGGAAGCCCCCUGGUCGAUCAGGCAUACUGAGUCUGGAAGUAUAUAGGAAUUUAUUUAACUCAAAGUGGAUCUCAAUUAAUGAGGAACAUGAGCUACAGACAAAAGACAUCAAUCCUCAGCUGCUGCUGCUUCUGAAUUAUGAGGCUUGCCAUGCUUCACUUCUUCAGUGGAUAGCUUUAUUUCUGCAAAGUGCAUAGAAUGAAGUUGUAGCCUGCAGUCACUGAAAGACCUAAAUGAAUGUGAGUAUGGUGUAAUGGAAGGCGCUGACAAGACUUCUUCCAAUCAUUUCAUCUCCAUAUCAUAUAAAAAGUAACAUUUCCUAUCCUUACUGAUUUUUUUCAACCAAGCUUUUAUGUCCACUGUGGCUCAUAAUGGUGUAUUGAUUUACAAGUGAAUGGGUUGUCUACAUAUUUUUUUCCCUAGCAGACUGUUAAAGGACCCUUUUGUUGUCUUCCUUUGUAUUUUUUACAUUGCUUUGAGCGUGGUAGUCAAUAAAAUUUGUUGUAUGAAAUAAACA